CAUGGUGUGAAUUAUAAGGGGGUUUAGUGGGGGUUGGACCCCCAAAUUAAGCCGUAUAGCUGAAUAAUUCGCACUCUGCUUACAGGUGUUCAGCGUGGUCACUCUCCAGCUGGUCUUCACCUUCAGCAUAGUGUGUGUGUUCACCUUCUCCAGUGUGGUGAAACAGGCUGUGCAGAGUAGCCUCUGGAUGUGCAUCAGCUCCUACAUCAUCUUCCUGGUGGUAUCUCUGUGCCUGAUCUUAUGCAGAUCCUUCAGCCGUCUCUAUCCUUGGAACCUGGUGGGCCUGGGCCUUGUCACUCUCAGUCUCUCUUACAUGGUUGGCACAGUGGCCUCAAGGUACAGCACCCCUGCUGUAGUCAUCGCCAUGGGCUCAACUCUGGUCAUCUCUUUUGCCAUUAUAAUCUUCACAGCCCAGGUAGGAUCUAAAUUCUGUCAGUGUUUCCAAAUGCUGUCUCCUUAUAUUUCCAUAUUCAUUCCCUGCAUAAGUUGAUUCAUUUAUGUUGCCCAGACCAAAGUGGACCUCACUAUCUGUAAUGGAAUCCUGGUUGUGCUAGGAGUGAACCUACUCACAUUUGGCUUCCUCAGCAUCUUUUUCUACUCCACAAUGUCACAUGUCAUCUAUGGCUGCCUUGGGGCUCUGGCGUUUUCAAUGGUAUGCCCCCUAGCUGCUAUAUCGUCAAGUUUAUAUAUCUGAUGUGAGUUUAAAGAUUAUUAUCAAGCCAAACACUGGGAAGAGAAGAUAAUGUCUUCCAGCACAAGGCUACAGUAGCCCCACAUCACACAGGAACCUGCCACUGGGGGACCACACAACCAUAGGGGGCUGAGCAUAAUACACUCGCAUAACACAAAAGGAUGAAUGUGAUGCAUGUGUGAAGACUAAUAAAUGUGUCUUGCAAUUA